AUUGAACGCUGGCGGCAGGCCUAACACAUGCAAGUCGAACGAGUGGCGGACGGGUGAGUAAUGUCUGGGAAACUGCCCGGUGGCGGGGGAUAACUACUGGAAACGGUAGCUAAUACCGCAUACCAUCGGAGCGGCCGAGAUGGGAUUAGCUAGUAGGUGGGGUAAAGGCUCACCUAGGCAACGAUCCCUAGCUGGUUUGAGAGGAUGACCAGCCACACUGGAACUGAGACACGGUCCAGACUCCUACGGGAGGCAGCAGUGGGGAAUAUUGCACAAUGGGGGCAAGCCUGAUGCAGCCAUCCCGCGUGUAUGAAGAAGGCCUUCGGGUUGUAAAGUACUUUCAGCGGAGAGGCGUUACUCGCAGAAGAAGCACCGGCUAACUCCGUGCCAGCAGCCGCGGUAAUAC
rnacentral:rRNA from 1 species